rnacentral:SRP_RNA from 1 species
UGCAGCCGGGGAGAUAGCGGUGCCCUGUACCUGCAAUCCGCUCUAGCAGGGGUGAUGCUUUGCCUCGGAUAUGCUACUGUAGAGCUGCCUUUGGUAAGUGGCGAUGACGUUUGGGUCUUACGCAACAGAAAUUCAUGAACCGUGUCAGGGCAGGAAUGCAGCAGCACUAAGUGGAACCUUCUGUGUGCCGUGAGGCAGCCUGGACUGAGUUAACUGCCAGAGUAACGUUUAUGGUAG